AGGCCUCGCCCCGUCCUCACCCGGGUCCCGAGCGGCGCCGGCUCCAGAAGCGCAUAGCCGCUGGUUCGGGCACCCUUGACAUGAUGCCCCUCGGCCCGCCUGGGCGCUGCCGGUCCCGGGACAGUCUGCGUGGAGACAAAAUCACAGUUACAGUAGUUCUUGUCCCUUCAGCCCCGCCACCCAUGCGCCUUCCGCACACUCACCCUCAGGCACCUCCUCCAUCCCGCCACCUUUGGCGCAGACGCGGCCACCGGAACUCUCCGUUGCGCAUUUCCGCCCCGUGGCGCCCAAUCUGACCCUCGAGUCGCGCGAGGUCCCAGGCUUGCAGGGUGCCUCGGCAGUGGACAGAGACAAGUAAGGCUGAGCAGGACUUGUUUCGCAGCGCUGCCGGCUGGUUCCAGUGCCUACUGGGGGCAGGGUCCUGGGGUAGGGGCAUGACUAGGGCUGUGGAGGCAGGGGAGAGGGUGAUGACGACACAGGGUGCUGCGCCCGACAGAGCAAGGCUCAAGACCCAGGAGAUGCCAUCGUUCCUGCUGCUGUCACCCACUGCCCACCCCACGCCCACAGGAAAUGUUUCUCUAAACACAAACCAGCAAAUAAAAUAUUCUUCAUCUUACCGUUUAA